AACGAACGCUGGCGGCGUGCCUAACACAUGCAAGUCUAACGAGAAAGUCCCCGCAAGGGGAUCGGUAAAGUGGCGAACGGGUGAGUAAUACAUGGGUAACCUGCCUUCGAGAUUGGGAUAACCCUCCGAAAGGAGGGCUAAUACCGGAUGAGAAAGGGGGGGCGAAAGUCAUUCUCUUUUAAAGAUGGCCUCUGCUUGCAAGCUAUCGCUUGAAGAUGGGCCCAUGUCCCAUUAGCUAGNGGUAGGGUAACGGCCUACCAAGGCGAUGAUGGGUAGCUGGUCUGAGAGGACGGCCAGCCACACUGGCAC
rnacentral:rRNA from 1 species